UCAAUUUACUUUCAUGAUACCUCUUUAACUAACUAAAAUACACUUCUAACUCCAAGCAUCACAUGCUAAUGAAUAACAAAGAGGAGGAAAAGAAGAAGGUGAUGAGUUCCAAGAAACGAGAAAAAAUGUGAGUGCCCAUACGAAGCAUAGUAUUAAGACUUCUUUCCGACUUUAUCUAGCUGCAAACUCUGCCCUCAAUUAUACACUUUUCAUAUUUAUUUUUUUAAAGUUGUAACAUCGUGAUCAUUUGAAAACAGUUAUUUGUUUUUGUUAGUGGACGAAUAUGACUGGAUCUUAUAUGAUUGGAAUUCUAAAAUUGAAUUACACCGAUAUUUCAUGAAACCAUAAACAGUUGUAUAGUUGUGUCCACACUGUAGGGUUUACCGUACCCAUUUUAUGAUUUUAUAAGAGACAAUAAGCUAAAUAUACAUAGUGGAGAUCUAUAUUGGCUAAUUAUACAUUGAUUGAUCUUAAUGGUUUGUGUCGUGUCCACUGUGGUUUGUGCCGACGAUUAUACCCUUGCGUCAUGAUGAAAAAAAGUAUUAUGUCCUGCAGAGAGUAGAAAAACUCUUUUAACAUUAUUUUUCUUCCUGUAAUUCUGACACACUUUCUCCCUUUACAAUUCAUUUAUUCUCUCUUUUCAAGUUCUCUUUCUUCUUGCCUCCAUUCAUUUUCUUUUGUCUGAUACAUUUUUUUUUCUUCAUCUCUUUCAUUUUUUUUCUCACUAUUUUCGUUUCUUUUCUCUUAUCCCCCAUCCUUUUUCUUCUUUCGAUUCUCUUUGUUUUUUUUUUCGUUUCUUAUUCUCUUUCUCUUUAAAUAUCUUCAUUGGUUCUUCAUUUAGAUGCUAAUUUUCUGAAGCUACGGCAAAAUUCAAAAAUGAUCUAACACCAAAUUUAGAUAAAACAUUUCAUGAUAGUGAUUCCAUUUUGAACGUUAGUAUUCUCUUAUGUAUGUAUUUCUAGUAAAUCAUAAUUAGAACACAUGUAUUACCAUAUAUUUAUAGAAAUAUGAUAAAGGUAAAAAACGUUAACACUAUAUACUAUAGAGAUGUUAAGAUACUUAUUUGAUUAGCAAAUUAAGUGUUAUAUGCGGCGCUUUAAACAAAAUAAUAACAUAAUAAUAAUAUUUAUAAUUUAGUAUUAAUUAUUAAUCUAAUACAUUAUUCAUCAUGUAAUAAUUAAGUUAGUUACUAAAAUUUAAAUUAACGAGUAAAACAACAAAGUUAGCAUGCAAUAAUCGAUAUUGUAGGUUGUUAAUAGUUGAUGUAUCAUUUAAAAAAAAAAAGUAGCUAUUAACAUAGGUAUUAGUUAUUACUUAUGAUGUAGCACACAUAAUAAACAUACAUGCAAUUUUGUUUUUGACUGCUAUUGUCAAUGUUUACCAAGCGACAAGGGAGUUAGCUGAUACAUCAAAAAUCUUUCUUUGAUUUGUUAGAUAAUAACUAGGAAGGAGAAGAAGAAAAAUGGGACAGCUUGUGCCUCUGAUGGUUGGUGAAUGAGAGAUGGUUCAUCAACGGUCAUUGAGAUUCUAAGUCGACCAUACAAAGGUUAAGUACGAUUUGGUGCUAAGGGAGAGGCAUGAGGGAUCAUGGUUGAGUGCAUGAUAGCGAUGAGGUUCUUAUGGACGUAUGCACCGCGGAAAAGACUGAGUAAAUACAGAGAACACAUGUUUCUUUAACAAGAGUUGAGAUAAACCCACCUAUGAGUGUAGACGGAGGCACAUAGUCAUCUACCAACUCAAGGAUACUUUCUAUGGGUGAAUUCAUGGUAAUGUAAUCUUGUUGUUAACGGUAAUAAACACAUGUGACGACUAAGUAUGAAUGUAACUAUUAACUGUUUUUUAUAUCUGAAGUUAGCUGUUUUAUAUCUAAAGUUAUAUACAAACCAUGUAUCAUUCAAAGACAAAUCUUUGUAAUAUAUUACCAACCAUUUAUCACUAGUUUGGUAUCAAA